CCUUUCUCCCUCCUCCUCGUUCUCGAGCACAAAAGCUCCCUUUAAACAUCUCAUCCCUAAAUUCUUCUUUCCCCUUCCUCCCUCGCUCCCGUUCUCGAGCGACCGCUGUGAACUCGGAAAUCAUGGCGGCUGUGAACUCUAGUUCCAAAAACGCGAGGAAGGAGGAAGUGAAGAAGGAAACUGGACUUGGGUUGACCCACAAAGGAUGAGAAUUUCGGAGAAUGGUAUUCCGAGGUUGUUGUUAAUUGUGAAAUGAUUGAAUUCUAUGGCAUAUCUGGGUGCUAUAUCCUGAGGCCGUGGACAAUGGCAAUUUGGGAAACCUUACAGACCUUUUUUGACGCGAAAAUAAAAAAGAUGAACAUAAAAAUGCUUAUUUUCCUCUAUUCGUAACUAAGAACGUUCUGGAGAAGGAGAAGGAUCAUAUAGAAGGUUUUGCUCCUGAGGUUGCUUGGGUUACUCAAUCUGGACAGUCUGAACUGGAAGUUCCUAUAGCAAUACGUCCCACAAGUGAGACUGUUACGUAUCCUUAUUUUUCAAAGUGGACAAGGGGGCACCAUGACUUGCCUUUAAAGCUUAAUCAAUGGUGCAAUAUUGUAAGAUGGUAGUUCACCCAUCCUACUCCUUUCAUCAGGGACCCUUUGCUUUGCUUUGGGAACACCUGCAACAACGUGGACAUACUGGGGAAGAAGGCUGCGGCGAUGAGGAGUCCGCAGGAGAGGAACACGAGGCUGGAAAACGUGCUGGCGAAUUUGGAAUUUGACCCUCAAGAAGAAACCAUCCACAUGUACAGACAACUUGUGCUGCCAGUCUGCAAUAAUACAAGAUCUUUCUCAUACUCUGUCCACUGUUUCUGGUUGCUUGCGGAAGGAGCUAAUAAUACAUGCCCUCAUCCAAAUGCCAAAGGUUGGGCCAUAUCUCUGUCCCAUAAACACAGUACUGAAGCAUAGGUGACAAAUGCCAAUGCCUAUAUCUACACGAAACACUGCAUUAGAUUUGAGACUCAUUCUGCAUUAGUGCAUAAGCUUAGUUCCAGUUUUCCAUUGUCACACUCAUUGUAUAUAUAAAGAUGUGAAAAGAAUUCGAUGUACUUAUAUGGUCUAUAUGUAUUGAGAGAAGUGGGAAGUGGAAUCCCUCCUUGUCUUCAUCUCACAAACUACAUAAACAAGAUCAAAGAUACAGGGCCAUGAUCUAUGCCCAGGAAAACGCUAAACUAAGGACUACAUCACGUCAACUGAGACAUGGAAUCACAAAGUAGGAUUUUGGCUUGCAUUCAUGUCUGUCGUGUACUGUUCUCGAAGCGGUGGCGCGGAAGGGUGGGAAGCAUGAUGUGCUUCUUGUCGAGGCUGUACUACGUGAUCCCAUCAAGGAGAUGCUACUGAUAUCAUCCGAGGAGACGAAUUGCUACUACCAAAGGAAAGGUCUAAUUAUAAGAAGCAGUUUAUUUCUUCCAAUCUUUGCGUCAAGAUUACGUUAGUCUGACUCAGAAAACCAGAAGGAAAUAGUUGGUGUUUGACGAAAUCUGCUCCGCAAUAGUAUACGUAUGGUUUAUCCAUUAUUCUAUCCACAAUUACUGCUCUCUCUCUCUCUCUCUCUUAGUAAUCAUCUUCUAACCUUUGAUGAGCUGCAGCACUAUUCAUCAAUAGUAUUGUAUUCAAUAGACUUUGAAGGGUUUGAGCACAUGUCUCAU